GGCUCAGGAUGAACGCUAGCGACAGGCCUAACACAUGCAAGUCGAGGGGCAGCGGGGAGGUAGCAAUACCUUUGCCGGCGACCGGCGCACGGGUGAGUAACACGUAUGCAAUCCACCUGUAACAGGGGGAUAACCCGGAGAAAUCCGGACUAAUACCCCAUAAUAUGGGCUCUCCGCAUGGAGGGUCCAUUAAAGAGAGCAAUCUUGGUUACAGACGAGCAUGCGCUCCAUUAGCCAGUUGGCGGGGUGACGGCCCACCAAGGCGACGAUGGAUAGGGGUUCUGAGAGGAAGGUCCCCCACAUUGGAACUGAGACACGGUCCAAACUCCUACGGGAGGCAGCAGUGAGGAAUAUUGGUCAAUGGGCGAGAGCCUGAACCAGCCAAGUAGCGUGCAGGAAGACGGCCCUAUGGGUUGUAAACUGCUUUUAUAAGGGAAUAAAGUGAGUCUCGUGAGACUUUUUGCAUGUACCUUAUGAAUAAGGAUCGGCUAACUCCGUG
rnacentral:rRNA from 1 species